rnacentral:lncRNA from 1 species
GGUCUUCCACAAGACAUCUGGAAUCCUGGCAAAGACUGGAGAAAGGUAUUAGCAAUACAGAUAUGGACAGGACUCCAUGGUUGGAGUAGCUGUGGACAGCAGAUUCUCCAGCAGGGUACACUUGUCCAUGGAAAACUUAGGCAUGUGCUUGGUCAUAGAUCUGCUCCUCUCCAUGCUCGCUCACUCUCCUUUUACUUUUGCUCGAUUGUUUUUUAUUUUCCUUUCUUAUUUUUGUUCAUUUCUUUCUUUUUCUCUUCUGCUUUUGUCUCCUUCAAGUCUCCCAGCUCUGAGCUGCUCCAUACACCAACUCCUCCGCCUUUGCCUUUCUCGCGCCGUGCCUUGUCUCCAGAGGUGCAGGCGGUCACAUCCGAGUGGAUUGCUCUGACUGUGGGAGUGUCUCCUAGCACCACUCCUGCCUUAACUGCUCUAUUGCCUUCUCUGCCUGAAGCUUCCCUCUCACACACUGACUCUCUCUCACCUCCUACCGCAGCCAGCCCUUCUCCCUCGUUCAGCCUCCCCCAUUCUCAUCUCUCUGGCUCCUCGACUCCCAGGUCCAUUAAAUCCCCAUUACCCUCUUACUCAUCUGGACCUCAGCCCUCUGCUCGCAGUUUCUACCAGGCUGCUCCACAAAGCAAAGAGAAGGUUGGUGGCUCCUCUUCUCCCUGCCCUCGCUGGGCAGGCAGGAGCCCUGAGAGCAUCCUUGCAGAGCAGCACGGCACCCCUGGCAGCCAGGCCUGGCUCCAGAAGACUAGAGAGGGCAGCAGCAGCCCUGAGCAGGGUUCCCAUGCUGCUCCCAACAUCUCUGUGGAGCGCUGCCUGAAACCGUCCCAGCUAGACAUGCGUGCAAGCCCAGAAAGGAGACCUGUGAGUUCCUCAGAGGACAACCAGUUGUGUCAGGAGCUAAUGGCUAUUGUGCAGGGAGGUAAAGCAGAGAAAAGAGGCACGAGGAGAGGUGAUCUGGGAAAGUUUCAAGGCGGGGAAAAGAAGGUACUUCUCCUGCAUGUGUGUGCACUACUCUGA